UCUGAAUACAGCCUGUGUGCUCAGCUCUUUCUAGAGAAGCCCGCCUGGCCUGGCAGGUGUAUUCUCUCCAUUAAACUAUUAACCUUGCUACCCGAGACUGAACUGGCACUCUCUCUCUCUCUCUCUCUCUCUCUCUCUCUCUCUCUCUCUCGGAUUCCAUCUGCUGAAGUGCUCACCCAUUCUGACAGAUGCCCUACCCCCAUUAAACUCUGCUGCCUUGCCUGUCACUCCUCUGGUCUCGUGGAAGAACCUACUCUACCCGUCUGCACUAGCACUUUCGGCAGAGCCAGCCAAGAGAGAAGAGAACCAGCGGUGAGGUGAGUUCUGAGCCAUGGCGCCCUGAGGAAUGUUCCACCUCCAGCUUACUUCCCCCUUUUCCUGUUUGCUACCCCUCCUCCCUAGUGUCAAGAAGAGAGGGGGGAUAACUCAGGCUACAGCUGGCCAGACAGGUUUCCCCACCUGAGCAAGAGAGAGGCCUUGCUCCAUUAACCCUUUCCAACCUGACAGACCUUGUCUCCCUUCUCUGCAGUUUAUGGUGACUUUUUCCCUGUCUCUUGACAGCAGGCAUGUCUGAGUCUCCACUCUGUUUCACGAUGUAUUUAGCCGUCCUAAGUAAUGGGCUCAGAUGCUGAUAAUCAAGGUUUUCCUGUGAUGCUGUAAUUGACCCGGGUCAUGAGAGUUUAAUAUGUCCUGGGGAAGGUUUCCUGCAUUAUUCUGUUGCCCUUAUUGAACCUUGAUUGUUUGGGAGAACUGAGUCUGACGGGAGUUAAUGUUAUCUGCCUAUUUCCUUAACUUUGAUUGGAUCUGGUCCACAGCUUCAGUUAAAAUAUUCUUGUGCAAAGACAAGAACCAGUCCCACCCAUCUCGGAUAACAGAGCCUAGACCCCAAGGCAUGUGGUGACACCCCAGGGGGCCCUGGCGAGAUGCUCAGCAGGUCUGUGCAUGAUUUGCCUCAGCAUCAACAUACUGAACGCAGACUCCCAGGCCCUGGCAGCGAUCUGCAUUGGACGAGCUUCCCAGAAGGCCGGCCUGAGGAUCAGCCUGGAGACCUGCAGAGCCCAGGGUGGGAAGACGAGGCAGAGCUCCUGAGGAGACAGAGAGAAGAAGGACACACAGCUAGCAGGAGAGGGAGCUCCGCGAACUUGGCCGUGAGCUGCUGGUCCCCAGCCACAGCUGAGCCGUGUCUCUCAGAACAGGGGAACUCCCAGGUCUCUGCUGAAAUCUGGAGUGACCUGCCUCGUCCUGCCGUGCCCUGCUGCCAGAGACCCCCGGGGUGGAAGUGCUAUUCUCCACGUGGUGACUUCUGGAAACAGGACCUGUGCUUCUCAACGCAUCCCUCCCAUGGCAGGUCUAGGCAGCUCUCGUUCUUGCAAGAAAACAAACACUGUAAAAAAAUGAUCACUGAACUUUUGGAAAGCCUUGGCUGCGAUGAAUAAAACAGGAAGCAUUUGGUGGCAGGGGUGGAGAGGAAACGGUGCUCUCCUCACGGGGUGGUCGGUGACCCACUCUUCCAAGGAGGUGAUGAGAGUGCUCUGGCCCUAGACACACUGAGGGUGUUUCAAGCGGAAGGAAGAACAAAUGCGGGGCAGGCACUGUGGUAUAGCAGGUGAAGCUGUUGCCUGCAACGCCGGCAUCCCAUAUGGGCAUCAGUUUGAGUCCUGGCUGCUCCACUUCCAAUCCAGCUCUCUGCUAUGGCCUGGGAAAGCAAGGGAAGAUGGCCCAAGUCUUUGGGAAGACCUGGAGGAAGCUCCUGUCUCCUGGCGUCAUAUCAGCGCAGCUCUGGCCGUUGUGGCCAAUUGGGGAGUGAACCAGCAGAUGGAAGACCUCUCUCUCCCUCUGCCUCUCCUUCUCCCUCUGCCUCUCCUUCUCUCUCUGCCUCUCCUCUCUCUGUGUGUGUAACUCUGACUUUCAAGUAAAUAAGUCUUCAAAAAAAAAAAAUAACAAUGCAGAAAUCCUGUGGUAGGACAAGUGAGAGUGCUCAAGAACAGAAGGCUGGGAAAAGGGGACUCAGAAUGAAGCAGUUGGGGAGGGAGGUGGGAGCUCUAGGCCAGGGUAAGGAGCUGGGAAGCCAGCAGAGGGUUUUAGACAAGAAAGCUACAUAGUGUAACUUACAUUGACAAAAUCUUGCACCUGCUGUUUUUGGAGGAUCAACUAUAGACACAAGGAGACACCAGGAGAUCCUUGGGGAGGUGCUCAUAGCAUGGACUCAAAAGAUGGUUCCAAUGCCCCCUGGAGGCAGAGGAAUAUGAGAGAUGAAUGGGGUGGGGGUGAUGCUGAGUUACAUGGAAAGAUGGAGGAGAUUAGGGCUGGCUGGGCAGAAAGAAGGCAUUGGUUCCGGACGGGAUGAGCUGGAGGUGCCUGCUGGCAUCCGAGAUAAGCCAAGUCCUCCAGCAAGAGGAAGUCACACCAGUGUGCCAGGCCCAGGCCUGCAGUGGCUGCUCCUGCCCCCCAUCCUUCUGUCUGGGUGCAGCCUUGACCCCAGCACCACCUGCAGCUGGGAAGGCUUCCAGCCUCACCUAGGCAGCCUCGGGCAGGAUGUGACGCACUCACCAGCAAGCAAGUUCAGGAGGGAUUCAGGGCACUGCACAGGGCAUCUGGCCCCUGUGUGACCUUCACAGGCCCAACUCUCUUUCUGGAAAAAUGCCAAGGACACUGCAGGUCAAUCCGACAUUGGCAGUGGCGCCGCGGUCUUGCUUUGCUGUGUUAGGGAAAGCAGCGAAGUCUUCAGUGCUCUUUACCUCCUGCGUGCAUGUGUGUGUGUGCAUGUGUGCACACGUGUGCAUUGUGCAUGUGUAUGCAUGUGUGUGCAUACGUGCAAAUGUGCAUGUGUAUCUCCUCACCUUGCUGUAGUUACAAAAGUACAAUUAGAGCUGUCAGCGGGGAACAGCCUCGGGUGAAAAGUUCCCCUCCACUCUGACUUGAGGCUGCUCGUGGCACAUCCCACAGCAGUCACUGCUUGGACAGCAGAGCUGGUGGGGGUGGGCAGAGAGGCCGUGGGCAGAGGGCUGGCUCCAUAGAACACAGGAGGUCCCCACCCUGCACACUGUGGGGGCUGAGGGGCGGGGGCUUCCUCUGCUUCAGCUCAGAUGAGGAAGCAGUGGGAACUGGUGAGCUGCAUGCAGGCAUCCCUGGCUUGCUCCUCCUACACAUUCGGCCCAGGCACAGUUUGCAGGCCAUGUGGCAGAAAGUCCACAAUUGCUGUGCUGCUGGAAACCAAAAAGAGACCGUUUUCCAGAAGUGGGGGCUGUGACGGGCUCUUGGUGGGACCUUGGCCAUGUCUGACACGGGACUCUCUGCACUUUAAGGAAAUUGCAUUGCAUAAAAUUCAAGGAGCUCCAGAGCUCGCAGCUACUGUAGAAAUCACGUUCGUGCCCACCCAGGGAUGCCAAAAAGAAAAAAAAAAAAAAAGAUCAUGUGGUUCAAUGCCUUCAUUGCUACUACAAAGCAGACACAGGAAAGACAGAUGACAAUCCCCGAGUCAUGACAAAGACAGAGCAAGGAUCACUUUCCCGACCUUCAGCCAGGCUGAGUGGCACGUGGAGCCCUUCACUGCUGAGUGGGGGGUUCUCUGAGCCUUCUAGGCUCCUGGAGGAAUGUUUGCACCAGCCCUGGGAGAGAGGGACAGGGCUGCUCUCAGCAGGAGGUAACCUGCCUGAGGACCCCUGCCACAGCAGCCCGGCUGGGCUUCAGCACCCACUAGCGUGUUCUGUGUAUGUGGGGCCGGGGGUGCUGUGUUAACAGUGGCAUAUGUGCACCUUUGCAUGAUCACAAAAUUCCCGCCAGCAGCUCCACUGUACCCUGUCUGGGUGGCUUCUAAGAAUCUGUUAUUAGAAGAGAGGAAGGGGGUGGGGGUAGUGAACAAAGAGAAGCAGGUGUGCAAAAGACACUCUGUGCAGCAUCUAGUUUCUGGAUGGAAAAGACUAAACAUGAUUUUAGUGCUUAAAUAAGGGCAGAAGCAGCACAGAUAGAAUGAGUAAGAAAUGUCCUCACUUGACAGUUUUGAGAUCCUUUUAAAAUCUUUUAAAUACUUGCAGCCGGCACUUUGGCAUAGCAGAUAAACCCGCAUCCUGCAGUGCCAGCAUCUCAUAUGGACACCAAUUUGAGUCCUGGCUGCUUCACUUCCGAUCCAGCUCUCUGCUGUGGCCUAGGGAAGCAGUGGAAGAUGGCCCAAGUCCUUGGGUCCCUGCACCCACUUGGGAGACCCAGAAGGAACUCCUGGCUCCUGGCUUCAGAUCAGCCCAGCUCCGGCUGUUGCAGCCAUCUGGGGAGUGAACCAGAGGAUAGAAGAUUUCUCUCUCUGUCUCUCUGUAAUGCUGCUUUUCAAAUAAAAUAAAUAGAUCUUUUAAAAA